rnacentral:rRNA from 1 species
UACGUAGGGUGCAAGCGUUGUCCGGAAUUAUUGGGCGUAAAGAGCUCGUAGGCGGCUUGUCGCGUCGGCUGUGAAAACCUGGGGCUCAACCCCGGCCUGCAGCCGAUACGGGCAAGCUAGAAUUCGGUAGGGGAGACUGGAAUUCCUGGUGUAGCGGUGAAAUGCAUAGAUAUCGUCAAGAACACCAAUAGCGAAGGCAGCUUACUAGAACGACACUGACACUGAGGCACGAAAGCGUGGGUAGCAAACAGG